UUAACCCUGCUGUUUUAGGGUGGGAAAAUUAUAAAGAUCCAACACCUUAUUUAUUGGGAACUGCGCUCUGGGCGUGUAUUACAUGCCUCACAACCUCCGUGAUUGGAGGUCUUGUGGAAGUAAAAAGCGUACAGGCUGGUACCCACCGUGUCAAACACGGUUCUUUAUGACCCCACCCGCUAAAUUGCAGGGUUUUU
rnacentral:other from 1 species